UACAGAGGGUGCAAGCGUUAAUCGGAAUUACUGGGCGUAAAGCGCGCGUAGGCGGACCUGCAAGUCGGGGGUGAAGGCCCGAGGCUCAACCUCGGAACUGCCUUCGAUACUGCGGGUCUCGAGUCCGGGAGAGGUGAGUGGAAUUCCUAGUGUAGAGGUGAAAUUCGUAGAUAUUAGGAAGAACACCAGUGGCGAAGGCGGCUCACUGGCCCGGUACUGACGCUGAGGCGCGAAAGCGUGGGGAGCAAACAGG
rnacentral:rRNA from 1 species